ACCUGGUUGGCUCAGCGGGUAGAGCAUGCAACUCUUGAUCUUGGAAUUGUAGGUUCAAGCCCCACAUUGGGUG
rnacentral:tRNA from 1 species